rnacentral:rRNA from 1 species
CAGAGGGUGCGAGCGUUAAUCGGAAUUACUGGGCGUAAAGCGUGCGUAGACGGUUAUUUAAGUCGGGUGUGAAAGCCCCGGGCUCGAACCUGGGAACUUGCAUUCGAGACUGAAGUAGCUAGGGUACGGUAGAGGGAAGUGGAAUUUCCGGUGUAGCGGUGAAAUGCGUAGAUAUCGGAAGGAACAUCAGUGGCGAAAGCGACUUCCUGGACCAGUACCGACGUUCAGGCACGAAAGCGUGGGGAGCAAACAGGAUUAGAGUACCCUGGUAAGUCCACGCCAUAAACGAUGAGGACUAGACGUUGGAGGGUAAGCCUUUCAGUGUCGUAGCUAACGCGUUAAGUCCUCCGCCUGGGGAGUACGGCCGCAACGGUUCG